rnacentral:snRNA from 1 species
GGUUGUGAGGGCUAACUGGCUGAAACUUCCAUGAUCCCAUUGAUUUUCAUGGUUGUUUCAGCAAGCCUUGAUGACUGGAUAAGAGUCCCCUUCCUCUUUCACCGUUUUAUGUGGUCUUCUCGUAAAACUGGUUGCUCUGUGGAAAUACUUCUGAAAAGAGACAGACCAUUCUUUUGUUAAGGAUAUGUGUAGCUGUACUCCCCUAUUAGAAACUUCAAAUAAGCUCUCCAGGUCCUCUUUUUGUGUAUGUUUAAUAGGACUCUUUUAAAAUAGAAGCAGGGUAAUGCAAGCUUAUUAUUACGU